rfam:Tissierella praeacuta DSM 18095 genome assembly, contig: EK13DRAFT_scaffold00042.42
UUGAAAGCUUUGAUCGGCCGCAGUGAAUAGGCCCAAGCGACUGUUUACCAAAAACACAAGUCUCUGCUAAGUCGAAAGACGAAGUAUAGGGGCUGACACCUGCCCGGUGCUGGAAGGUUAAGGGGAAGGGUUAGCAUAAGCGAAGCUCUGAACUUAAGCCCCAGUAAACGGCGGCCGUAACUAUAACGGUCCUAAGGUAGCGAAAUUCCUUGUCGGGUAAGUUCCGACCCGCACGAAAGGUGUAACGAUUUGGGCACUGUCUCAACAAUGGAUCCGGUGAAAUUGUAGUACUCGUGAAGAUGCGAGUUACCCGCGACAGGACGGAAAGACCCCGUGGAGCUUUACUGCAGGCUGACAUUGGAUUUUGGCAUUGCAUGUACAGGAUAGGUGGGAGACUGAGAAACCAGUGCGCCAGUAUUGGUGGAGUCGCCCUUGGGAUACCACUCUUGUAAUGCUGAAAUUCUAACCUGGUACCAUGAAACUGGUAUGGGGACACUGUCAGUUGGGCAGUUUGACUGGGGCGGUCGCCUCCUAAAAAGUAACGGAGGCGCUCAAAGGUUCCCUCAGCACGGUCGGAAAUCGUGCGAAGAGUGUAAAGGCAAAAGGGAGCUUAACUGCGACACCAACAAGUGGAGCAGAAACGAAAGUUGGACUUAGUGAUCCGGUGGUUCCGAGUGGAAGGGCCAUCGCUCAACGGAUAAAAGCUACCCCGGGGAUAACAGGCUUAUCUCCCCCAAGAGUCCACAUCGACGGGGAGGUUUGGCACCUCGAUGUCGGCUCGUCUCAUCCUGGGGCUGGAGUAGGUCCCAAGGGUUGGGCUGUUCGCCCAUUAAAGAGGCACGCGAGCUGGGUUCAGAACGUCGUGAGACAGUUCGGUCCCUAUCCGUCGUGGGCGUAGGAAAUUUGAGAGGAGCUGUCCUUAGUACGAGAGGACCGGGAUGGACAGACCGCUGGUGUAUCAGUUGUCAUGCCAAUGGCACGGCUGAGUAGCUAAGUCUGGAAGGGAUAAGUGCUGAAGGCAUCUAAGCACGAAGCCCCCCUCAAGAUGAGAUUUCCCACUUUUAAAGGUAAGACUCCAAGAAGACCACUUGGUAGAUAGGUCUCAGGUGUAAGAGUAGCAAUACUUUAAGCUAAGAGAUACUAAUAAGUCGAGGACUUGACCUA